rnacentral:tRNA from 1 species
CGGGGCGUAGCUCAGCCUGGUAGAGCGCGUAGUUUGGGACUACGAUGUCGUCAGUUCGAAUCUGGCCGCCCCGACCA